rnacentral:tRNA from 1 species
GUCUCAGGGUCAUGGAUUCGAGCCCACAGUGGGCACCAAAUACCACUAG